UGAAACAUGUGGCUACUUGAGAUAAUGGGA
rnacentral:piRNA from 1 species